AUUUUGGACAAUGGGGGCAACCCUGUACCAGCCUUCCCGCGUGUGCUAUGAAGGCCUUCGGGUUGUAAAGCACUUUUGUCAGGGAAGAAAAGGCUCUGGUCAAUACCUGGAGCUGCUGACGGUACCUCCAGCAUAAGUACCGGCUAACUGCGUUCUCGCAGCCGCGGUAAUACGUAGAGUGCAAGCGUUAAUCGGAAUUACUGGGCUUAAAGCGUGCGAGGGCGGUUCGGCAAGAAGGAUGUGAAAUCCCAGGGCUUAACCUUGGAACUGCAUUCUUAACUGCCGGGCUAGAGUAUGUCAGAGGGGGGUAGAAUUCCGCGUGUAGCAGUGAAAUGCGUAGAGAUGCGGAGGAAUACCGAUGGCGAAGGCAGCCCCCUGGGAUAAUACUGACGCUCAUGCACGAAAGCGUGGGGAGCAAACA
rnacentral:rRNA from 1 species